AGUAACGCGUGGGUAACCUGCCUUGUACAGGGGGAUAACAGUUGGAAACGGCUGCUAAUACCGCAUAAGCGCACAGCAUCGCAUGAUGCAGUGUGAAAAACUCCGGUGGUAUAAGAUGGACCCGCGUUGGAUUAGCUAGUUGGUGAGGUAACGGCCCACCAAGGCGACGAUCCAUAGCCGACCUGAGAGGGUGACCGGCCACAUUGGGACUGAGACACGGCCCAG
rnacentral:rRNA from 1 species